CCACUGAUGGUGUAAAGUGUGAACAGUUGUGUCGCUCUGAACAUCGUUGGCAUCGCAAGGCAACUGCGUUUGUACGGCAACUACGUUUGCUCUUUUUUAGAAAUGUCCAUGGGAUCUCUGAUUUUCUA